UGAGCAUGACCGUACAGACGUGAUAACAGAUCGAAGAUCUGUUAUAUACGCGAAAAGAGGUACGGAGGUCGUGCUCAGCAGGGGGGAGGAGCCGCCGAAGGCAGGUCGGAUGACUGGGGUGAAGUCGUAACAAGGUAUC
rnacentral:rRNA from 1 species